rnacentral:lncRNA from 1 species
ACAAAAUUAAAAAUAAAAAUAAAAAAAUAUUGUCAUGCACAUAUUAUGUCAAUAGUCAAUAUCUAAAUUAAACGUGAGCAAAGCAAGCCCUAUCCACCUAGCCCAAUUUUUGGCAGAAUUGGGCAAAGAUAUUCAACCCAACAGGAUAGUCCGGGCUGAAAUUUUUUGGCUUGACAAGGAAUCAGGUCGGGCUAAGGCUUGUCAAGUUGCAGUUAGCCUGACCUAGCUCAAUAUAUUUAUAAAUUAUAUAAUAUAUAAUCGUAUAGUGCAUCGUAUAAUAUAUAUUUUGUUUUUUUUUAACUUUAAAGUAAAAGAGGAGACCUAAAUUCCUCCCAUUCCCCUCCUCUAACCUACACCCCGCCACCCCACCCCCCACCCCCAGCCUCCCACUUACUUAUGGCACCCAAGGGCCACCUCAUCCUCUCUCCCAUGGUAUUUUUUCCCCAGUCGGCCAUUCUCUCUCUCACACACACACCCACCCGGCCAAUCCAGUGGCCAAAUCCAUCACUUCCCACUCAUCUCUCCCUCCCCCUCCCUUCUCUCAUCUCAUUCUCAACCCCCACUGCAUCCUCCUCACACUCUUUGCCCCUAGUUCACUCUAAAGGUUGAAGACACCAAUGCCUCCUCCUACUCUCUUUCUCUCAUGUCAACUGAAGUAUGGUCAAGUUAGUUCGGGCCAAGCCCAAUAACCCUAAUUUAUCUAAGUUGGAUUGGGUUAGUCCUAGGCGCUCUUAUUUCUUAUCGAGCUAGGUUUGGGCUAUAGAUUUUAGGGUUUAGUAAAUUUAUCUUGUUAUUAGAUAUCAAGAUAGCCUAAUCCUAGCGCAGCCUAGCAAAUGCUCAAGUCUAAUCUAAAUAUUGUUAAUAUCUAAAACUAUAUUAUUGACCUCCAGAUAUAAGCAUGCAUGUAACUGCAUAUAAAUCCACACAUUCCAUUUAAGAAAAUAUGUCUUGACACCAAGUAAUGCUGAACUGACCCAAACUGGACAUUCCAACCCAUGCUAAACCGUAAUGACGCUAGCCCAAGAUGGUUCAGCCGCUCAAUUCGAUUCGUUUAUAAAAUCGAUGGUUGCUCUCUCUCUCUCACUCGUUGCACUCUCUUUCACUUGUUUAUAAAAGUGGUCGAAGUGUCGAAUCGGCACCUCUCUCGCUCACAUUCUCUCAUUCGAGAGAGUACGUUGCCUCUCUCGCUUGCACUCUCUCUCUCUCGUUCGAGAACGUUCCACGCCUCAACGUCGCCAGAGCCUCUCUUCUGUCUUCAGCGCUAGCACCUCUAUCCCGUCUUCGACGCCCCAAAUUCUCCAAUUCUCUAUGGAGUCGAGGCCUUUCCCCCCUCGAAGGCUAGAGUUUCUCCACCCAUAGCUGGUAAGCCUCACCCCUCUCCCUCCCUCU